rnacentral:misc_RNA from 1 species
GAUGAAGAACGUAGCAAAAUGCGAUAAGUAAUGUGAAUUGCAGAAUUCAGUGAAUCAUCGAAUCUUUGAACGCACAUUGCGCCCGCUGGUAUUCCGGCGGGCAUGCCUGUUCGAGCGUCAUUUCAACCCUCAAGCCCCCGGGUUUGGUGUUGGGGAUCGGCUCUGCCCUUCUGGGCGGUGCCGCCCCCGAAAUACAUUGGCGGUCUCGCUGCAGCCUCCAUUGCGUAGUAGCUAACACCUCGCAACUGGAACGCGGCGCGGCCAUGCCAUAAAACCCCAACUUCUGAAUGUUGACCUCGGAUCAGGUAGGAAUACCCGCUGAACUUAAGCAUAUCAAUAAGCGGAGGA